rnacentral:lncRNA from 1 species
GUAAUCUCAUCCCUGAGUGAAACUGCCGGGUUUCUGCUGAGUCACAGUCAUCAGGGAACGGGGAGAGCAAUUACAGAAGAAAACUGGGAAGGCAUCCCAAACAAAUUGGUUAUAAUUAACAAGUAGAAGAAUAACACCAGUAAUACCAUUAGCAGGCCCAAAAGCCAUUUGCGAUAUAAUAUCUAUAAUUAGACAGGAUCCAGCAAAAGCCGGGGCUGAGCAGCUCACCCUGGGAUGGGAGGGCAGGUGGGGGCUGGGGGGGGGAUGACAGCCCGAUGGCACUGCUCUGGGGGUGCUCAGCACUCAGCAGCACCCAGCAGUGCCCUCCAUCCCCUCCUGGUGCUGGUCCUGACCCACAGGAACCAGUCCAGGACCAUCCCACACAAAGCCAACGCUGCCCAUACCGAUGGCCAUCCCCUUUGCCCACCCCACCCCUCCCGUCCCAAAGUGGGGGAUGUGGGGAGGAAGGCUCUGCGGGGCGGCACAGGCACUGCCCAAACGCAUCUCAUGGAGCAGGGUGUGGUCCAUGGGAGUUUUUCUGGUGGAAGCAGCACCACAGCCCAUGUGCUGAUGCAGCAAGGCUGUGGUCCAUUGCCAGGCACUGGGCUGCACCAGGACCAAAAACCACCCCAUGGCUCUUGCUGCUGGGGCUGCACAAGGGACACAGGGACAAGUGGCCUCAGCAGGGCAGCAGGCACGGCUCUGCCCAUGCUCCUGCACGCUCCUUGCAGGAAAGCCCACGUCCUUCUCUUUGCUGCAUCUUUUAGUUUUGAUUGCUGUGGAGCAGAGAAGGACCAAGGAGGACGCACGGCCGCGGUGCUGCUGCGUGGCUCUGCUCGGAGCGGGCUCUGGGGGCUCAGAGCACCCCAAUGGGAACGGCCCAAGCGUUCUGAGUGGCACUGCUUUCCCCACCCCCACCCCACAGGCGUGACCCUACGGCUGCGGGACGAUGCAGGCGCAGGAUGGAGCCUGUCCUGCAGAACCUCACUGCCAAGAGCAGAUAAAGCCAAGCAUCCCCCCCAAGCAAAACAAACCUGCUGAUAGCCCC